GGACAUGAAGGUGAUCUGGCUGCGAUAUUUGUCACCUCAUUGAUCACCAGGGUUGAUUUGGCUGAUCUGGCUUGGCCAGGCAGGCGUCCCCGUCCUCCCUCACCACUCCAUGUAUGUCCCCCUCAAGCUGCGUACUUUGUGGCAGAGGGCAAUCAUCCCGGAUAGAGGAGCGCCGUUCUGCAGUCAAGGGUAUACAAAUAGCUGUGCCCCCCUGCUAGUACCUCCAACAAACUCUCAAGAGCCAACCCUGAGGACUAACUCAGAACCAUCUCUGUUCUGGAUACCAUGUCAGAUGCUUAGGAU
rnacentral:snRNA from 1 species